UACGGAGGGUGCAAACGUUGCUCGGAAUCAUUGGGCGUAAAGCGCACGUAGGCGGACUGUUAAGUCGGAUGUGAAAGCCCUCAGCUUAACUGAGGAAGUGCACUCGAAACUGGCAGUCUUGAGUAUGGAAGAGGGUCGCGGAAUUCCCGGUGUAGAGGUGAAAUUCGUAGAUAUCGGGAGGAACACCAGUGGCGAAGGCGGCGACCUGGGCCAAUACUGACGCUGAGGUGCGAAAGCGUGGGGAGCAAACAGG
rnacentral:rRNA from 1 species